UACAGAGGGUGCAAGCGUUAAUCGGAGUUACUGGGCGUAAAGGGCGCGUAGGCGGUGUUGUAAGCCAGUUGUGAAAUCCCCGGGCUUAACCUGGGAAUGGCAAUUGGGACUGUGACGCUAGAGUCGAAGAGAGGGAGGCGGAAUUUCCGGUGUAGCGGUGAAAUGCGUAGAUAUCGGAAGGAACACCUGUGGCGAAGGCGGCCUCCUGGAUUCAGACUGACGCUGAGGCGCGAAAGCGUGGGUAGCGAACAGG
rnacentral:rRNA from 1 species